rnacentral:lncRNA from 1 species
AGUUGACUAGGUCCCUUAAGAUAUAACACUCAUAUCAGUGACCUAUUCUUCUAUCCUUCAGAGCAAGUCUAAUCCCAGGUGAUUAUCAUCCUGUUUGAUGGUUCUGAAUUGAGCCAGUCCUAAAGGACCAGGACUUCAUUCAUUUUCCAUUGUGAAGAACACAACACAACACCCCAGCCUAGCUGACAGGAGGCAGUGGAAAGCUGAAGACCAGGAGAUUUCUUCGAUAUGGCCCAUCUAAGGCUGGCCCUGAUUGACGUCAAGUGCAGCAAUUAAACCCACCAGCUGAUGAAGAAUGGAAGUUCCAGUGAGUUGAGAUGUUUCCAGGAUAAUGAUCCGAGAGCCCGGAGAGCAGCAG